rnacentral:rRNA from 1 species
UGCCAGCAGCCGCGGUAAUACGGAGGGGGCUUGCGUUGUUCGGAAUUACUGGGCGUAUAGCGCACGUAGGCGGACUAUCAAGUCAGGGGUGAAAUCCCGGGGCUCAACCCCGGAACUGCCUCUGAUACUGGUAGUCUUGAGUUCGAGAGAGGUGAGUGGAAUUCCGAGUGUAGCGGUGAAAUGCGUAGAUAUUUGAAGGAACACCAAUGGCGAAGGCAGCUAUCUGGAAUAAUACUGACGCUGAGGUACGAAAGCGUGGGGAGCAAACAGGAUUAGAUA